GAUUGGUCUGAGUGCAGUGGUGUUUAUAACUAAUUGAUCACAACCAGUUACAGAUUCCUUUGUUCCUUCUCCACUCCCAUUGCUCCACUUGACCAGCCUUUA
ensembl:misc_RNA Y_RNA Y RNA